GAUGAACGCUAGCGGCAGGCCUAAUACAUGCAAGUCGAACGGUCCACUUCGGUGGAUAGUGGCGCACGGGUGCGUAACACGUAUGCAACCUACCUUACAUUGGGGGAUAGCCUUUCGAAAGGGAGAUUAAUACCGCAUAAGACAGUAACAUGGCAUCAUGUAGCUGUUAAAGAUUUAUCGAUGUAAGCUGGGCAUGCGUCCAAUUAGUUAGUUGGUGAGGUAAUGGCUCACCAAGACGAUGAUGCAUAGCCGACCUGAGAGGGUGAUCGGCCACACUGUGACUGAGACACGGCCCAGACUCCUACGGGAGGCAGCAGUAGGGAAUAUUUCACAAUUGAGGAAACUCUGAUGGAGCAAUGCCGCGUGUAUGAAGAAGGCUUUCGGGUCGUAAAGUACUGUUAUAAGGGAAGAACAUGUAGAUCAGGAAAUGGGUUUACACUGACGGUACCUUAUCAGAAAGGGACGGCUAACUACGUGCCAGCAGCCGCCGUAAUAC
rnacentral:rRNA from 1 species